rnacentral:misc_RNA from 1 species
CGUACAUCUCACGUUCUGAUAAGAUACCCCAUUGGAUUUCCAUUUUAUAGAUCUCCGCCGACAGUUUAGAGAGUCGCCAAAAGGCAGGUCCAGAAGCAGUUGCCUCUCUGUCUCUCAAUUCUCUCUCUAUCUCUACACGUUUUUUUUGUUUUUUUGUUUUAUCCUGAUUAAAAAGUCAGAAAUGAUUAAAAUGCUUCAAAGAUUCCAUUACAUGCGAGCAAAACGACGGCGUUGAUCACACUCCAUUCCCGAUAAAGUAGAACCCCAUCCCCAAAGAGCAAGAUUUCUAGAGAGAAAUAAAAAUCAAAUCAAUUAACAGUAAGCAAACAAACAAACAAACGGAAAAGGUCGCAGAUAAGACACCCUUUUCGAGCCGUAUAUAUAUAGAGGGGUACCUGCCAGUACGUUAACCUUCGAAAUUCUCCUCUCUCCUCGCUGUCUAUAUGUAUCGGUGUUUUUCUCAAACACUACAUUCCCUAGAUCUCGCCUCGAAACUGUAACGCUGAAGCUUCGAAAUCAAUCCAGCGAAAUGGCCUCUGAUUUAAGUUCUCUUUAGUUCUAUUGUCGUUUUGAGUUUGGUCUCACUUUGGAUCAAAAUGGAAGGCGGCAACGAUGGCACCGUGAGGCUAGGGGCUCUGAACUUGAGGACGGAUCGGAACGGUUUUGAAUCGGACCCGGAUGUGUCCGUUUCAUCGCCUGUGACGAGACAGAAAGCUGCUGCGGCGAAGCAGUUCAUAGAGAAUCACUAUAAGAACUACUUGCAAGGAUUGCAAGAUCGUAAAGAGAGACGUCAAGCACUUCAAAGAAGAGCACAGGAAGCUCGGGUAUCAAAUGAGGAACAAGAGGACAUGCUGUGGAAUUCGGGACACGGGGAAACAGGGUAUACAAGGCUGUAACGACGUAAAAUUGGAAUUGAUGACUUUGAACAAUUAACUGUGAUUGGUAAAGGUGCAUUUGGUAAGGUAAAAGAAAACAUCACUAUCAUAUAGCAAUUUCCAAUAUUUUUUUGUAUGGUUCAUAGAUCAAUAGAAUUUCACUGUUGAACCCAUCUUGCUCUUAUGGUGAUAUUGUUUUCAAAGUUUCGUUCUUGAUUCAUUUAGAAACUUUGAUUGAUUGUUCUUUAUUGGAUUGGUGGAAAUUUUGUGGAUUUCCUUUCUAGGUAUCCUGAAUUUGGUUGGGUUUUCUGAUAUUUUGUAAGAGUUAAGGGUGCUUUUUGGUGUGGUUGAUUGUAGAUUUGAUGUGUUGUUUUAAAUUAGUUCACCAUAAGGGGAUUUGUUUGGUAAAAAUGUAGAAUCAAGGGAAGAAUUAUUUGAUAAGAGGAUGAGAUUUGUUGGAUUAAUCAUUGUAAUUACAGGACAUUUGUCAUUGGUGAAGAUGUGGUUUAGAUGCUUCUGACACAUGCUUAAUUUUCAGAUGAUUGUUAUUUGUUACUUCUUUCCCUUCUUAGUAUACAUUAAUGCUUAAAAUUUUGAGUUAUGUCCAUGAUAAAUGCUAUUUUUUCGUAGAAUAAUUUUGAAGAGCUAUUUAUGUUGGUCCAAAAUCUUUUCAUUAUCCAAUUGUUAAAAUUCAGUCUCUUUUUUAUUAAAUUAAUAGCCCUAAUUGAUAAGAGAGUUGGCUACUUCGGAGUGGGUAUCUCCUGUCAUCUUACAUUGGCCCUCCCAAACAAGAAGGAAUAUGAAACAAAAUUGGGAUAAAAUCUGGUUAUGAGGACAUAUAAAUAGAGGACAAAAGUAAGGCUUCAUGAGAGGCAAAGGCCAAAGCCAUAGAGGCCAUCUCUAAAAGUAUUAGAAUGAAUGUGUGGGCAGAUGAUUAUGUCUAAUGUUAAUGUUAUGUGGGUUAAUUUUAUGCUUUAUAAGGAUAUGAUUGCAAAAUCUGGUAUUUAUUUGCACUCCAGGUAAAUUUUAGGAAGUGCUUGACUACUAUCAGAGGCUGCUUCCCUCAAUCCGACUUCUGCAAUCAUGCAUGCAACCAGAGGUAAAGGUUGAUUAAUGGUUUAAAAGUUGUAGUUUACUUAGCUUGGGAGUGGUGCAUGUGUAUAUUUUUUGUUUUUGUAAAACAAAAAAGAGAAGAAUUUGACUAAGUUAGCUUUUUUUCUUAAUUUUCUCCACAGUGGACUGUCUAUUACCGUUAAAAAUAAGAUUCUUUUAUAGAAAUUGUGUUAUCAUUAGUCAAGUUGAUUUUUUUUUAAUAGUGAAAGUGGUUCUGGAAAUCAAUUAUUAGUUAGAUAAGAAACGGAGUGAGCAGUUGAUUCGGCUUUCGAGUAUGAGUAUUUUUGUGUUAAAUAUAUUUUGAGGUGAUAUGUGAAAAAUGAGUGUAAUUGAGUCAGAUUAAAUUUAGGGACUAUGUUGAGUGUGGUUAAGUUCUUUAUGUUAAGUUAUGUGGGAUCAGGAGUUAGAGCCUUUAUUGGUGGGUUUAAUUAUUUUAUUAAAGACUCAAAAUUAAAUGAGGGUGUGUGGGUCCUAAAAUUUGUGCAAAUGGUAAAUUUGUAUAAGCAGAGUUGUUUUUAACUUGUUUUCUUACUUUAACUACGAUUCUUGAGAGAGUUUUAAGUCAGAAUGCAAUUAGGACUUUCAAAUCAGAUUUGGAGUUUUAGUUAGCCUAUUUUUCUCUAUAAAAAGGGUUCAAAAUACGAAUCUAGAGUUUUUCAAUUCUCUUCUAUUCAUAGUGGCUAAAUUCCCUCUUUGUGCAUUCAAAUGUGUCAAUUUCUUGAUCCACUUGCAUUCAAAUUUCGAAUUCCAUUCAAAAAGGAUAGCAUAUUCUUUGUUAUUUUGAUUAUGUUUUCUUUUGUUACUAUGAGCGAGUAGUUUUCUUGUUCAGUAGAGAGGAUUGCUAAAACCAUGGAAUAAUUGUCAUGAGACUAUUUUGAGCUAUUAAUUAAAUCAGUAUUUUUCUUCACUUGAAUAUCUAUGUUUCUCUUGUGAUUCAUGAAAAGCUGGCAUUUUAAUUAUUUAGGAGGCCUACUACUUAAUUAUUCAUGUAUGUCUAAUGCUAAUAUAGUUGAUUAAACCCGUAAUUGCUUGAUUAAAUUUACAUCAGUAGCAAAGGUGAUGCUUUGUGAAUUCAUCAUAUUGCUUAGAGAUCCAUAGUCUAGGUUAAAUGAUUAUACAGCUUGUUGUGUAAUUGUUAUCUAGAAUUGGUAACAUUUCUCUAGUAUGUUAAAGCUACCAUUGAACUAAAUCUUGCACUUGACUAAGGUUCAAUUGGUUAGGGGUUAAUUAGACGCUUACUUUAAUUAAUCUAAUAAGUCGGGAGAAAUAGGAAAAUUGAGUGGUUUCUACAACCAAUUUAUUCAAAUGAAUGAAUUAUUGCAUUAUUAUCAAUGAUUGAUAAUUAAUUUUCAUGGUACAUAUAUAUCUUUCUACUAAGCCAUUUACUAUAUUGUGUUAUUUCUCUUAGUUGCAUUCUAUCACUUUGAUCAUUGGUGAUUUGCAUACUUUUAGCUUUUACUUUAAUUUGCUUAGUUUAGUUUCCUUAGAAUUAAUAAAAUUCAAAACUCCUUGUUUUUUUAUUGUUAGUGUGUGUGAGUGCUUGAGUACACCCUGUUGAUUGGUCAAUAAUUCUCUGUGAGAUUAGCCUCUACUUGCUCUUGCUACAAAUUGAUUAAUCUAAUAGAGUAUUUUAUUUAAUUGGCGCAUUCAGCACGCAUCAAUUUGAUAGAAUGAAAAGUGAUUAUGAUAUUUGUCCUGAUUUUGGUCUUAUUUU